ACAGGUGGUGCAUGGUUGUCGUCAGCUCGUGUCGUGAGAUGUUGGGUUAAGUCCCGCAACGAGCGCAACCCCUACGUUUAGUUGCUAACGCGUGAAGGCGAGCACUCUAGACGAACUGCCGUUGACAAAACGGAGGAAGGUGGGGAUGACGUCAAUCAUCAUGCCCCUUAUGUUCUGGGCUACACACGUGCUACAAUGGCCGGUACAGACGGACGCAAAGCCGCGAGGUGGAGCAAAUCCUAAAAGGCCGGUCUCAGUUCGGAUUGCAGGCUGCAAUUCGCCUGCAUGAAGUCGGAAUCGCUAGUAAUCGCAGGUCAGCAUACUGCGGUGAAUACGUUCCCGGGCCUU
rnacentral:rRNA from 1 species